rnacentral:rRNA from 1 species
AUGAACGCUAGCGGCAGGCCUAACACAUGCAAGUCGAGGGGGAAGUUACUUUCGGGUGACUGAGACCGGCGUACGGGUGCGUAACGCGUAUACAAUCUGCCUUUCACUGGGGGAUAGCCCGAAGAAAUUUGGAUUAAUACCCCAUAGUAUAUAGGGACGGCAUCGUUUUUAUAUUAAAGCUUAGGUGGUGAAAGAUGAGUAUGCGUUCUAUUAGCUAGUUGGAGAGGUAACGGCUCCCCAAGGCGAUGAUAGAUAGGGGUUCUGAGAGGGAUGUCCCCCACACUGGUACUGAGAUACGGACCAGACUCCUACGGGAGGCAGCAGUGAGGAAUAUUGGACAAUGGUCGGAAGACUGAUCCAGCCAUGCCGCGUGCAGGAUGAAGGUCUUAUGGAUUGUAAACUGCUUUUGUAAGGGAAGAAUAAGGGCUACGCGUAGUUUGAUGACGGUACCUUACGAAUAAGCAUCGACUAACUCCGUG